GAUGAACGCUGGCGGCGUGCCUAAUACAUGCAAGUCGAGCGAAUGGAUUAAGAGCUUGCUCUUAUGAAGUUAGCGGCGGACGGGUGAGUAACACGUGGGUAACCUGCCCAUAAGACUGGGAUAACUCCGGGAAACCGGGGCUAAUACCGGAUAACAUUUUGAACCGCAUGGUUCGAAAUUGAAAGGCGGCUUCGGCUGUCACUUAUGGAUGGACCCGCGUCGCAUUAGCUAGUUGGUGAGGUAACGGCUCACCAAGGGAACGAUGCGUAGCCGACCUGGGAGGGGGAUCGGCCACACGGGGACUGAGACACGGCCCAGACUCCUACGGGAGGCAGCAGUAGGGAAUCUUCCGCAAUGGACGAAAGUCUGACGGAGCAACGCCGCGUGAGUGAUGAAGGCUUUCGGGUCGUAAAACUCUGUUGUUAGGGAAGAACAAGUGCUAGUUGAAUAAGCUGGCACCUUGACGGUACCUAACCAGAAAGCCACGGCUAACUACGUGCCAGCCGCCGCCGUAA
rnacentral:rRNA from 1 species